UCCUGGGUGGCUUAGUCAGUUAAGCGUCUGACUUUGGCUCAGAUCUUGAUCUGGUGGUUCGUGGGUUUGAGCCCCGCCUCGGGCU
rnacentral:tRNA from 1 species